rnacentral:rRNA from 1 species
UUGAACGCUGGCGGCAUGCCUUACCCCUGCAAGUCGAACGGUAACAGGUUAAGCUGACGAGUGGCGAACGGGUGAGUAAUACAUCGGAACGUGCCCAGUAGUGGGGGAUAGCCCGGCGAAAGCCGGAUUAAUACCGCAUACGACCUAAGGGUGAAAGGGGGGGAUCGCAAGACCUCUCGCUAUUGGAGCGGCCGAUGUCAGAUUAGCUAGUUGGUGGGGUAAAAGCUCACCAAGGCGACGAUCUGUAGCUGGUCUGAGAGGACGACCAGCCACACUGGGACUGAGACACGGCCCAGACUCCUACGGGAGGCAGCAGUGGGGAAUUUUGGACAAUGGGCGCAAGCCUGAUCCAGCCAUGCCGCGUGCGGGAAGAAGGCCUUCGGGUUGUAAACCGCUUUUGUCAGGGAAGAAAUCCUUUGGGUUAAUACCUCGGGGGGAUGACGGUACCUGAAGAAUAAGCACCGGCUAACUACGUG